UUACGGCCAUAUCACGUUGAAACACCGGUCCUCGUACGAUCACCGAAGUUAAGCAACGUCGAACUUGGUCAAUACUUCGAUGGGUGACUGCUUGGGAAUACCAGAUGCUGUAAG